GACGAACGCUGGCGGCGUGCUUAACACAUGCAAGUCGAACGGAAAGGCCCUGCUUUUGUGGGUGCUCGAGUGGCGAACGGGUGAGUAACACGUGAGUAACCUGCCCUUGACUUUGGGAUAACUUCAGGAAACUGGGGCUAAUACCGGAUAGGAGCUCCUGCUGCAUGGUGGGGGUUGGAAAGUUUCGGCGGUUGGGGAUGGACUCGCGGCUUAUCAGCUUGUUGGUGGGGUAGUGGCUUACCAAGGCUUUGACGGGUAGCCGGCCUGAGAGGGUGACCGGCCACAUUGGGACUGAGAUACGGCCCAGACUCCUACGGGAGGCAGCAGUGGGGAAUAUUGCACAUGGGCGGAAGCCUGAUGCAGCAACGCCGCGUGCGGGAUGACGGCCUUCGGGUUGUAAACCGCUUUCGCCUGUGACGAAGCGUGAGUGACGGUAAUGGGUAAAGAAGCACCGGCUAACUACGUG
rnacentral:rRNA from 1 species